ensembl:lncRNA
UUUUUUUUUUUUUUUUGACCGAGUCUCGCUUUGUCACCCAUGUUGGAGUGCAGUGGCAUGAUCUUGGCUCACUGCAACCUCUCCCUCCCGGGUUCAAGCGAUUCUCCUGCCUCAGUCUCCUGAAUAGCUGGGAUUACAGGCUCGCACCACUACACCUGGCUAAUUUUUGUGUUUUUAGUAGAGGUGGGGUUUCGCCAUGUUGCUGAGGCUGGUCUCGAACUCCUGGGCUCAAGCGAUCCACCCAUCUUGGCCUCCCAAUGUACUGGGAUUAUAGGCGUGAGCCACCACCUGGCCCUGCUGCUACCUUGUCAGUGUUGUAAUGUUUUUCUCUAUUGAGUUGAUUGAAUUCCUUGGUUUUUGCCCUCACUCCCCAACUCUGUCACCGUUGCAAAACACAUACACACAUACACCACUAUACACACUGGUUUCUAAAGACUAGCAGAGCCUCUGAUGCAUCUUUAAAGGACUGAGAUGAGGCAGGGGAUAGUAGCUUAUACCUGUAAUCUCAACACUUUGGGAGACCAAAGCAGAAGGAUCACUUUAUACCAGGAGUUUGAGACCAGCCUGGGCUACACCACAAGACCCUAUCUCUACAAAAAAGUUUUAGAAGUUAGCAGGUUAUGAUGGUGUGUGCCUGUAGUCUCAGCUACUCAGGAGGCUGAGGUGGGAGGAUUGCAUUAGCCCAGGAUUUCGAGGCUGCAGUGAGUUACGGUGGCACCACUACACACCAGCCUGGGCAACAGAGCAAGACCCUGUCUCAAAAAAAAUAAGAACAAAAAUACAUAAAGGGCUGAGAUGGCCCAUAAAGGGCUGAGAAAGCCAGGAGAAUGGUUUUGGAGCAAGAGGGUACAUUUCUGUUUUCUUUUUGUGCCUUUUGGGGUAGUUCACUUAGACACAGGGAAUUUGCAGUCUGAGACCAGAAAAUCUCUACCAUUCAUUCCCUUUUUGACCUUGCUUGGGCUGCUCAACUUCUGCCCAGAGGCUUAGCUCUUCAUCAGGAGAAAAUAAUGCUCUUAGCUCCACCAAGCUGAUAUAGGCCAAGGAGAAAAUGCCUGCACUGGCCAGGCACAGUGGCUCAAACCUGUAAUGCCAGCACUGUGACAGGCUGAGGUGGGAGGAUCUCUUGAGCCCAGGGGUUCAAGACCAGACUGGGCAACACGGUGAAACCCUGUUUCUACCAAAAAUACAAAAAUUAGCCGGGCAUGGUGGAAUGCCUGUAGUCCCACCUACUUGGGAGCCUGAGGUGGAAGGAUCGCUAGACCCCAGGAAGGUCAAGGCUUCAGUGAGCCCAUGAUCUUGCUACUGCAUUCCAGCCUGGGCGACAGAGGCCCUGAUUCAAAACAAAGAAAGCAGAAAAUUCUCACGUCAACCUUUGAGUUCCCUGAGAAGUGCAACCUGAAUGCCAGCUUCAGGCUGGCGACUGGGUUUCACUCUGGAAUCUAGUGUGUUCUGGGUUGGAAGUGAGGGCCUGGAGAGAGGUGCCCAAGCUGGAAUGGAGUUUUUGUUUCUGAGAUGGAGUCUCACUCUGUCGUCCAGGCUAGAGUGCAGUGGUGUGCUCACGGCUCACUGCAACCUCUGCCUCCUGGGUUCAAGUCAUUUUCAUGCCUUAGCCUCCUGAGUAGCUAGGGUUACAGGUACACGCCACCACAUCUGGCUAAUUUUUAUGUUUUUAGUAGAGACAGUGUUUCUCCAUUUUGGCCAGGCUGGUCUUGAACUCCUGACCUCAAGAGAUCUGCCUGCCUCGGCUUCCCAAAGUGUUGGGAUUACAGGCAUGAACUAUGGCGCCCGGGCUGGAA